rnacentral:rRNA from 1 species
CAGCCGCCGCGGUAACACGAAGGGUGCAAGCGUUAAUCGGAAUUACUGGGCGUAAAGCGUGCGUAGGCGGUGAGUUAAGUCUGCUGUGAAAUCCCCGGGCUCAACCUGGGAAUGGCAGUGGAUACUGGCUCGCUAGAGUGUGUCAGAGGAUGGUGAAAUUCCCGGUGUAGCGGUGAAAUGCGUAGAGAUCGGGAGGAACAUCAGUGGCGAAGGCGGCCAUCUGGGACAACACUGACGCUGAGGCACGAAAGCGUGGGGAGCAAACAGGAUUAGAUACCCCAGUAGUCCCUGUCUCUUAUAC